AGGGUUUAAGCAGCAUGCAUUCUCAAUUUGGAGCACUACAGAGAAGAUUGGCAUGGCCCCUGUGCAAGGAUGACACACAAAUCCAUGAAACGUUUUAAAAAGAA